rnacentral:misc_RNA from 1 species
GCAAACUUGGUCAUUUAGAGGAAGUAAAAGUCGUAACAAGGUUUUCGUAGGUGAACCUGCGGAAGGAUCAUUACUGAAGUUUAAGGGGAGUGCUGGCCCGACAGGGCAUGUGCACCCCUUCCUUCAUCCACACACACCCGUGCACCAAUCGAGGUGGGCUCUCGUCGUAGGGCCUGCCUACAUUUUCACAAACUCUUUGCUCGACUUGGAAAGUAGACGCGGCGCUGCCGCAAAAUUAAUACACAACUUUCAACAACGGAUCUCUUGGUUCUCGCAUCGAUGAAGAACGCAGC